CUCCGUGGUGGUCGAACUCAGAAAAGUUCUGAGCUGGUGCAGCGGCUCAUUUAAGCUGCAGCGCGUUAGGGAUGCAAGAUAAAAGCUAUUGAGAAAAGAGGCUAGAGCUAAUGAUGAUGAAGGCAAUCAAGAUUUUAAUGAUGAUUGCGCCUCGCUUCCCUGCCCGAUGCACCCGGCCAGACGCGGAUCGCCCUGUCACCUCUGCGCCAUUUGUGCUAAGGAGCCCGCGCAGAGCGAUCCUAAGCACGUUUCCACCCAAAAAAGAUGCAGAGAAAAUUCGGCUCCAUUAGAUACGGCUACAAAGGAGAACUGAGUUUCAAAAGUUUGCCGCGUGGAUGCACUGCCCUCCGUUUUCCUAUAUUUCCACCCUUGUCUGGUGAGAUGAAGACCUAAGCUGGAAAGCUAAAUCCUGACUUUCUCUUUCCCCCUUUUUUGGACCUCUGCCUCAAGCAUAGGCAGUCAUGCUUUCUGUGGUGACUGCUAAGGAUGACUUUCUUAUGACCCUGUCUAAGCUGAUGCUCUUGGGUUCUUGAAUGUAAAUAAUCUAAUAGACUUUAGCCAACAAUUCCCAAAGGAGAUGCAGCUGUAGUGCUAUUACUUGUGGAAUAACAACCAAACCAAAGCUA